rnacentral:rRNA from 1 species
UACAGAGGGGGCAAGCGUUAUUCGGAAUUAUUGGGCGUAAAGGGCGCGUAGGCGGCUUUGCAAGUGACGGGUGAAAUCCCUCGGCUUAACCGAGGAACUGCCUGUCAAACUGCAUGGCUUGAGACCGGGAGAGGUGAGUGGAAUUCCCAGUGUAGCGGUGAAAUGCGUAGAUAUUGGGAGGAACACCAGUGGCGAAGGCGGCUCACUGGACCGGUACUGACGCUGAGGAGCGAAAGCGUGGGGAGCGAACAGG